rnacentral:rRNA from 1 species
UGGGGGAUAUUGCACAAUGGGCGAAAGCCUGAUGCAGCGACGCCGCGUGGGGGAUGAAGGCUUUCGGGUUGUAAACCUCUUUCGCUAUCGAACAAGGCCCGCUUAGGGUGGGUUGAGGGUAGGUGGAGAAGAAGCGCCGGCUAACUACGUGCCAGCAGCCGCGGUAUACGUAGGGCGCGAGCGUUGUCCGGAAUUAUUGGGCGUAAAGCGCUUGUAGGCGGCUUGUUGCGCCUGCUGUGAAAACGCGGGGCUUAACUUCGCGCGUGCAGUGGGUACGGGCAGGCUUGAGUGUGGUAGGGGUGACUGGAAUUCCAGGUGUAGCGGUGGAAUGCGCAGAUAUCUGGAGGAACACCGAUGGCGAAGGCAGGUCACUGGGCCAUUACUGACGCUGAGGAGCGAAAGCAUGGGUAGCGAACAGG